GAUGAACGCUGGCGGUAUGCUUAACACAUGCAAGUCGAACGGACUCUUCGGAGUUAGUGGCGGACGGGUGAGUAACGCGUGAGAAUCUGGCUUUGGGUUCGGGACAACCACUGGAAACGGUGGCUAAUACCGGAUGUGCCGAGAGGUAAAAGAGAAAUUGCCUGAAGAUGAGCUCGCGUCUGAUUAGCUAGUUGGUGAGGUAAAGGCUCACCAAGGCAGCGAUCAGUAGCUGGUCUGAGAGGAGGACCAGCCACACUGGGACUGAGACACGGCCCAGACUCCUACGGGAGGCAGCAGUGGGGAAUGUUCCGCAAUGGGCGAAAGCGUGACGGAGCAAUACCGCGUGAGGGAAGAAGGCUCUUGGGUUGUAAACCUCUUUUCUUAGGGAAGAACAAAAUGACGGUACCUAAGGAAUCAGCAUCGGCUAACUCCGUG
rnacentral:rRNA from 1 species